ACACAUCUCUUGAAUAAAGCGUGCGCGUGAAAGUACAGCUGUAAACUAAUACGGCGUACUUCCUAAGUAAAAAAAAUCAAUGAGUCCUUGCCAGUCGUAAGCAACAGAGUCAUUUUCUAAAAAAUGCAUGUUUACAAAUGUUAGUUAAUGGAACCGGCUUAUUUGUUUAUCGUUUAAAAAGUGGACGUGACAGCAUUUUCGUCACGAAAAAAAUACUCUCAGAUCUGUUGUUGGUCAACUGUAUGAACUUUCUCGUGUAGGUUCCUGGGUUUUCUAAAAAAAAAAAAAAAAAAAAAAAAAGUGGUUAAUUUGUCUUUUGCUUUCAGUUCAUUCAUAAAAAAAUCAGCGCCGAGACCCCCGGGAAGGUUUCGUUUGGUGCGCCUCCCUCCGAAAGUCACGCCCCACCCCUCCAGACUGCGUGGCGUCGCGGCCGAGAGCGAAGGAAACCAAUCCGCACAAUAUGUGCUGAGAAUUUUCAGGUAAGGAAGACAGAAGUUGCAAGAUUCACAGAAAGCUGGUGCCUACCUAGCCUGGCAGUGCUGGACAGUGAACCAUCACUGGACAGAACACCAUUCCAUUGUAGGGCAAACUCACGUACACAGCCACACUAACUUCACUGGAACAAUUUUGGCAUGCCUAAAAUCUAGUUAUUAUGCUAUCCUUUUCUGUUUGAUUAUGGAUGAAUAGAGCACCAAAUGUAGGAAUU